GAUGAACGCUGGCGGCGUGCCUAAUACAUGCAAGUUGAGCGCUGAAGGCUGGUACUUGUACCUAUUGGAUGAGCAGCGAACGGGUGAGUAACGCGUGGGGAACCUGCCUUUGAGCGUGGGAUAACAUUUGGAAACGAAUGCUAAUACCGCAUAAAAAUUUUAAACACAUGUUUUAAGUUUGAAAGAUGCAAUUGCUUUCCUUAAUGAUGAUCCCGCGUUUUAUUAGCUAGUUGGUGAGGUUAAGGCUCACCAAGGCGAAGAUACAUAGCCGACCGGAGAGGGUGAGCAGCCACCAUGGGACUGAGACACAGCCCAAGCCCCUACUGGAGGGAGCAGGAGGGGAGCUUCAGCAAUGGACGAAAGGCUGACCGUGCAACGGCGCGGGAGUGAAGAAGGGUUUCGGAUCGUGAAACUCAGUUUGUUGAGAAGAACGAUAGUGGGAGGGGAAAGCUCAUCAAGUGACGGUAACUAACCAGAAAGGGACGGCUAACUACGUG
rnacentral:rRNA from 1 species